CAGUAGCCACGGUAAUACGAAGGGUGCAAGCGUUACUCGGAAUUACUGGGCGUAAAGCGUGCGUAGGUGGUGGUUUAAGUCCGUUGUGAAAGCCCUGGGCUCAACCUGGGAAUUGCAGUGGAUACUGGGUCACUAGAGUGUGGUAGAGGAUAGUGGAAUUUCCGGUGUAGCAGUGAAAUGCGUAGAGAUCGGAAGGAACAUCUGUGGCGAAGGCGACUAUCUGGGCCAACACUGACACUGAGGCACGAAAGCGUGGGGAGCAAACAGGAUUAGAUACCCGGGUAGUCCCUGUCUCUUAUAA
rnacentral:rRNA from 1 species